UAUGUGAUAGAGCUCGAAAUGGACGAAAAGUCCGUCGGUGGUCCCGGGCUUGUGUGAGUUUCGGGUGGCGGAGAGGGAGGGACAGGAAAAAAAAUCCGUCUCCCCGCGCGGUCGAAAAAUUUGGACCGAUGUCAAAAAAACACGUUUUCUCGGGCGUCACGGCGUCAGUAUAUAUCAUCGCGUGUGUGCAUAUAUAUUUAUUGUAUUACAAUAAUCACGCCCACUCCCGUGCCUCUUAUAUAACAGCGGCCGAAAGCACACCGCGGAAAUAGUCGCAGCUGCGCAGAGGUCAACUACAAUUUCAUCGUAUCGCGGCGAGCGACCGACGUGGACGUACAAAGACAUCUCGACAUUAUGGUGUGGGGACGCUUCUGAGAGAUGAUUAUACCAAUAUUUUUCACUUUUCUAAAAGUUUGGGAUCGAGCAUUGACAUUAGUACGAUGUAAUAGGGUGGAUGACGACAUCUUGAUACGUACUGUUGAUUUUGCACCGGACCGAUACGUUCGGGGAAAACAUUAGAUUCUAGCGAAGGGGCCCGCAAAAAUGGUACCAAUUGAGCCCAAUGUAGCAGAUCGAGAGUACGCCGAGAGCAGGCAACACAACCGACAUUGACGUAUAAGGCUCGUCACAUGAUCGUUCAACAUAAAAAGGUGUUAUAGCCAAGGAGGUCAAGGGGGCGGCAAUCGUCUCGAAAAUUCAAGACAAUUUAAAAACGCUCUUAUCGUGUUCUAUAUUACGUUACACGUAACCGUGUAUUGAAAUUUGUAACUUAUAUAUGAAAGUUGGGCUGCAAAAUGUUAAAUUGUUAAAUAUACUAUACUCGUUGCAUCAGUGUAUAUAUCAUCUAUUUACACAACUUAUAUGGGAUCCUUCUAUUAGAAUACGGCCAAUACGAGCACGAUAUAUAAUAGUAUAACACGGUUCCUGGAAUCAAUCGAAGGUGAUCGACAAAAUAAAUGACAAUGAUUUUCGUUGGUUACACUAAGUUCCUAUACACGAUGCAGUCUUCGAAACACCGACUACGCGCUGAGCGAAUAAACAGGAACCAAUAACCUGCUGCUAGAACAGCGAUAAAUUUGAAAAAUAUAUCGAUGUGUGUGUGUGCGAACGUGUAAAAGAGUACUUAUAAUGAAACAUUGAAAUAACAGAUUGUUAUUAUUAUUAUUAAUUGUUAUUAUUUCCGUGGGUCUGUGACGAUUAUAAUGACGAUAUUAUAGCCCGCACGCGUAAACAGUCGUCGUCAAGGACUCGCAGGACACUAUGGGAGACUAGGUACGUUAUGAUAUAUCGUCGUAUACAGUACAAACGCAGCUGCUAAAUAAAAUGCAUAAAAUACGGCAAUGGCCGACGCGAAGACGUGUAUAAUAGGUACCUACCAAACCUCGUGCAACGUUUCGGUGGCGUAUCUUAUUAUGUUUUGUAUAAUUGAU